rfam:Bursaphelenchus xylophilus, Ka4C1 (inbred line), WGS project CADV01000000 data, contig: scaffold01653.76
CGCAGGUGAAAGACAUGGGUAGUGAGACGCUUUGCGGGUUCGGCAUUCCGUCGGCAUAUUCCGCUCGCCCUUUGAUGGUCGUGUCACUAUUCUGUUUUUCGCCCGCUC